rnacentral:rRNA from 1 species
UACGUAGGGUGCAAGCGUUAAUCGGAAUUACUGGGCGUAAAGCGUGCGCAGGCGGUUCGCUAAGACAGAUGUGAAAUCCCCGGGCUUAACCUGGGAACUGCAUUUGUGACUGGCGGGCUAGAGUAUGGCAGAGGGGGUAGGAAUUCCACGUGUAGCAGUGAAAUGCGUAGAGAUGUGGAGGAAUACCGAUGGCGAAGGCAGCCCCCUGGGCCAAUACUGACGCUCAUGCACGAAAGCGUGGGGAGCAAACAGG